rnacentral:rRNA from 1 species
UACGUAGGGUGCAAGCGUUGUCCGGAAUUAUUGGGCGUAAAGAGCUUGUAGGCGGUUUGUCGCGUCUGCUGUGAAAUUUCGGGGCUCAACCCCGAACUUGCAGUGGGUACGGGCAGACUAGAGUGUGGUAGGGGAGACUGGAAUUCCUGGUGUAGCGGUGAAAUGCGCAGAUAUCAGGAGGAACACCGAUGGCGAAGGCAGGUCUCUGGGCAGUAACUGACGCUGAGACGCGAAAGCGUGGGGAGCAAACAGG